AGGGUUCGAUUCUGGCUCAGGAUGAACGCUGGCGGCGUGCUUAACACAUGCAAGUCGAACGGGAUCCACCGGGCUUUGCUUGGUGGUGAGAGUGGCGAACGGGUGAGUAAUGCGUGACCGACCUGCCCCAUACACCGGAAUAGCUCCUGGAAACGGGUGGUAAUGCCGGAUGCUCCAGUUGAUCGCAUGGUCUUCUGGGAAAGCUUUCGCGGUAUGGGAUGGGGUCGCGUCCUAUCAGCUUGACGGCGGGGUAACGGCCCACCGUGGCUUCGACGGGUAGCCGGCCUGAGAGGGCGACCGGCCACAUUGGGACUGAGAUACGGCCCAGACUCCUACGGGAGGCAGCAGUGGGGAAUAUUGCACAAUGGGCGCAAGCCUGAUGCAGCGACGCCGCGUGAGGGAUGGAGGCCUUCGGGUUGUAAACCUCUUUUAUCGGGGAGCAAGCGAGAGUGAGUUUACCGCGUUGAAUAAGCACCGGCUAACUACGUGCCAGCAGCCGCGGUAAUACGUAGGGUGCAAGCGUUAUCCGGAAUUAUUGGGCGUAAAGGGCUCGUAGGCGGUUCGUCGCGUCCGGUGUGAAAGUCCAUCGCUUAACGGUGGAUCCGCGCCGGGUACGGGCGGGCUGGAGUGCGGUAGGGGAGACUGGAAUUCCCGGUGUAACGGUGGAAUGUGUCGAUCUCGGGAAGAACACCAAUUGCGAAGGCCGGUUCUCUGGGGCGUUCCUGACGCUGAGGAGCGAGAGCGUGGGGAGCGAACGGGAUUUGAUACCCUGGUAGUCCACGCCGUUAACGGUGGAUGCUGGAUGUUGGGCCCGUUUCGCGGGGUUCGAGUCGGAGCU
rnacentral:rRNA from 1 species